AGGAAAUGAAUAGUGUUCAAUAAACGACCCAGCUGAAUGUGGUCUCCUCACAGCUCAAAGGUGCCCUGCUGGUGGAUCGUGUUGAAGAAAAGGAAGAUCACGUUCUGGUGUACAUAACGGAGUUAACGAAGAACAUAGCUAUCAACCACAGCUUAGACCUCCUACAGGAGCUCACAGUGCAGAACCUGAAGCCAGCCGUGGUCAAGAUCUAUGACUACUACCAGCCAAGUGACCAGGCUGAGACAGAAUACAUCUACCCUUGUGCUGCAGAUUGACGAGUGAUGUGUGGUCUGUCCUCAGAUUGUCACUGAUUGAAAAAAACCUGCGUUUUAUUAAAGAUACAUUUUAUGUGCCUUGUGUA